rnacentral:rRNA from 1 species
UACGUAGGGUGCAAGCGUUAAUCGGAAUUACUGGGCGUAAAGCGCACGUAGGCGGCUUUGCAAGUUAGAGGUGAAAGCCCGGGGCUCAACUCCGGAAUUGCCUUUAAAACUGCAUCGCUAGAAUUGUGGAGAGGUAAGUGGAAUUCCGAGUGUAGAGGUGAAAUUCGUAGAUAUUCGGAAGAACACCAGUGGCGAAGGCGACUUACUGGACACAUAUUGACGCUGAGGUGCGAAAGCGUGGGGAGCAAACAGG